UCAUGAGUAAUUCAGUGGUAGAAUUCUCACCUGCUACGCGGGAGGCCCAGGUUCAAUUCCUGGCCCAUGCA
rnacentral:tRNA from 1 species